rnacentral:rRNA from 1 species
CACGUAGGGCGCAAGCGUGUCCGGAUUUAUUGGGCGUAAAGAGCUCGUAGGCGGCUUGCCACGUCUGCCGUGAAACCAGCAGCUUAACUGUUGGCUUGCGGUUGAUACGGGUUGGCUGGAGUUCGGUAGGGGAGACUGGAAUUCCUGGUGUAGCGGUGAAAUGCGCAGAUAUCAGGAGGAACACCAAUGGCGAAGGCAGCACUCUGGGACGUGACUGACGCUGAGACGCGAAAGCGUGGGGAGCAAACAGG